GAUGAACGCUGGCGGCGUGCCUAAUACAUGCAAGUCGAGCGAACAGGACCGGUGCUUGCUCUUCUGACUUUAGCGGCGAACGGGUGAGUAACACGUGGGUAACCUGCCUAUCAGACUGGGAUAACAUCCGGAAACGGAAGCUAAUACCGCAUAAUAUUUCGAACCGCAUGGCUCAAUAGGGAAAGGAGGUUUUGCCGUCACCUAUAGAUUGAUCCCCGCCGCAUUUGCCGGUUGGUAGGGUAACGGCUUACCAAGGCAACGAUGCCUAGCCGACCUGGGAGGGUGAUCGGCCACACUGGAACUGAGACACGGUCCAGACUCCUACGGGAGGCAGCAGUAGGGAAUCUUCGGCAAUGGGCGAAAGCCUAACGGAGAAACGCGGCGUGAGUGAUGAAGGUCUUCGGAUCGUAAAACUCUGUUAUUAGGGAAGACCAAAUGUGUAGGUAACUAUGCACGUCUUGACGGUACCUAAUCAGAAAGCCACGGCUAACUACGU
rnacentral:rRNA from 1 species